CACAAAUCAUCACAUUGUACGCUCUUUGAACGUGGAAUUUUCUCGUUGCUUGUGUGUGGCAUUAAAUAUUUCACUAUUAUUGAUAUUUCUUUGUUGAACUGAGCAAAAUUUUUUUUAUUUUUCAGAAAAGGAAAAUGUAUUUAUGCCCAUGCAUUGCAUUCAAAGGUGAUUAAUUUGUGUUUCGAUGUGAAGUGUUGCAAAGUUUACAAUAACAAAAAUGGCUAAAAAGUAAGUGCCAGAAAUGAUUUCAUAAUAACAACUUGAGUGUCGACAAAAAGGAGGCCAUCAAACCACGAAGAAAAAUAAAAGAAAAAUAAAAAGAAGGUGUAAAGAAGCAAAGCACAUGUACCUGCACAUACUGAACUUAAUACGUGUAUAAAAUGAAUGAAAUUAUAUUAGAAUAUAAUUAAAAAAGCACUUAGUAAAUAGCGCAAAAGGUCGACAGCGCUGCGGUUGGAGGGAAAAAUUGCAGGCCAAAAAAACGCAGCAUACUUUCAGCUACAUCAACGUGGAUUGAGACCUGAAAGUUCGAAUAUUUAUCCACAUUUUUGAGCACUUGUGCUGUUGUUACGUACACACAUAAACAAGUAUAUUGUCUGCAUUCCUCUGCUCCAAGAAGACAGUCCCGUACAUCAGGCCGGUGUGUUUGCCAUGCAAUAAAGCAAAGGCAAACAUAACAACAACAACAACAACA
rnacentral:misc_RNA from 1 species